GUACCAUACGAAUAAGGACCGGCUCAUUCCGUGCCAGCAGCCGCGGUAAUACGGAAGGUCCAGGCGUUAUCCGGAUUUAUUGGGUUUAAAGGGAGCGUAGGCUGGAUAUUAAGUGUGUUGUGAAAUGUAGACGCUCAACGUCUGACUUGCAGCGCAUACUGGUUUCCUUGAGUACGCACAACGUUGGCGGAAUUCGUCGUGUAGCGGUGAAAUGCUUAGAUAUGACGAAGAACUCCGAUUGCGAAGGCAGCUGACGGGAGCGCAACUGACGCUUAAGCUCGAAGGUGCGGGUAUCAAACAGGAUUAGAUACCCUGGUAGUCCGCACAGUAAACGAUGGAUGCCCGCUGUUGGUACCUGGUAUCAGCGGCUAAGCGAAAGCAUUAAGCAUCCCACCUGGGGAGUACGCCGGCAACGGUGAAACUCAAAGGAAUUGACGGGGGCCCGCACAAGCGGAGGAACAUGUGGUUUAAUUCGAUGAUACGUCGAGGAACCUUACCCGGGCUUGAAUUGCAGAGGAAGGAUUUAGAGAUAAUGACGCCCUUCGGGGUCUCUGUGAAGGUGCUGCAUGGUUGUCGUC
rnacentral:rRNA from 1 species